AGCUUUUUCUUAAAAAAAAACCCGCACGUGCGAUGACGUGACCAGCUGCAAGCUAUUUAAGCUGCGACUAAUUGCAUGAGCGUUCUUUCUCCAGCGGCUGACAGCAUCCCGUCGUCCUCACGCCGCUGCUGCUCUCCACACAUUUCCACAAGAGAGCCCUGCUCGCAUCACUGGUGAGACACGCACACUCGUACACACAAAAAAUAUCUCAAUUUGUUUCAGCAAAUGAUGAGCUACCAUGUGGCAAAAGCUAACAGAUUUAUUCCUGUGAUGACAUCAUUAAGGUGGGAACAUGUCACAACACCCAAAAUGCAUUAAUCUCCAAUGGUGAUGGUAAAAGAUUGUGCCUUUGCAGCAAACAUUCCUUACAUCCUGCUUCUGUGUGCAGUUAUGACAACCUCCACUUGAAGCGCCGCUGCCUGAGGACUGAGAUGCUGGCUGCACAGAGCUGCAAUCCGGACCCCCAACAAGGUAAGUUACCUUCACUACUCUUCGCUCAUGUCCACUAGGUGGUGCAAAAGCAUCUUGGCCCUGGAGAACCUGAACCCGGCUUGAACCGACGAGUGAAGCAGAUUUCCUGCUUCAAGGUCUGACUUGAUCUGCGUCAAAGACUGACAUCCUUUUGACUUCAUCCAGCGCUGCUUCCACCAAAGCUUCAGUCAGUUGCUUGCUUACUUACUCUGCAUGCAGGGUGGCUUCCAGGACAAGUUCCAUUGUGGCAGAGAACCACCUUGGCCCCCAAGAUCCUGCACCUGCUGGGGAAAAACAGUUCUACGUGACUAUGCAGAGACUGAGGAACAUGUUCAACUUCCUGGAGCUCACGACACAUUGGUCGACGCGCUCGUCACGCUGACUGACGGUCAUCAGCAACGAGGAAACGGUCAUUCCACCUUUAGUGGACUCGGCUGGAAGACUACAUUAGAAGGUGCUGAAGCCAAACUGUGGAGCAGCCAGAGAAGUUGGGGACAAGUUUGAUGCUUCCUGUGAAUGCAGCAAUGUGAGCACUUGGACGAAGUCCCAGGCAGCAACAAGUCACAUCCUCUUCAUUGCUGGUAAUCUUCUGAAGGAGGGUAAGGGACACAUGAGAUGACUUGCAGCAACCACUCCUCACAUCACGUCUUGACAGCCAGCGAGAGGAACAAGAUGCACGAGGGGUCCUCAACGAGAACAAAUAAAUUUCAACUGGUCAAAAAUGCCGCCCGUCUUGGAGAACCUGAGUCCAGCAUCCCCACGCACCUUGGACUGACUCAUGAAGCACUCUCCUUCGUAAAGGUCUGACUUGAUCUGUUUCAAAGACACUUGAUGAAUGCAAGUACUUGAUUUGUUGUGGUGGGGGAAAUGGCAUCAUGAUCAACUUCCUGUCCACCAUGCUGAGAUGAUGUAAGCUGCAAACCAACUCUGAAACUGAAGGACAACAUCCAGAAGGUGACAACCGAAGUGGGGGAUGAAUUUGAGGAGCCAACUUUAGCGCUGUUGGCUGAGGAACAUGUUCAGCUUCCUGCGAGGGCUCAGUCGCAGAAAAACAAGUUGCACAUCCUUUUCGGUCACGACACACCGGUGCACACUCUCCUCACGAUCAACAGCGACGAGGAAACUGUCGUCAGUGACUACCUGGUGAAGUGGACCUGUCAUCCACCACUGAAGUUGAAGCUUUUAACGGGUCACGACACACCGGUCCACGAUGACCGGUGACUAUCAACAGCCGUCAGUGACUGCCUGGUGAAGUGGACCUGUCGUCCAACACUGAUGCGUUUAAUGGGUCAUGACACACCGGUCCACGCUCUCCUCACGAUCAACAGCAACGAGGAAACGGUUGUCAGUGACUACCUGGUGAAGUGGACCUGUCAUCCAACACUGAAGUUGAUGCUUUUAACGGUGCUGGGGAACAUGGUCAGAGUCCUGGCAAUGCAGAUGUGCGAGCACUUGGACAGUCCCAGAAAACAAAUUUCACACCCUUUUCAUCACUGGCAGUGACAAGAAGACGAUCGUCAUCCAACAUGUAAGCUUUAAAAAAAAAAGUUUGCUUUUUACUCUGCAAAAAAAAUAAAACAGUUGAAAAACUU